rnacentral:lncRNA from 1 species
GAGAGAAAGGCCAGACAAGGAGAAAUGGUAUGAUGUUAUGAAAACCGUGGUUAAGAAUCUGACGAAAGAGAGAGCAUCCAAGAAGGAAGAUAACAGAGCUGGUGUUUGCUGCCUCAAACACCUGCAAUCACACUGUGUGGUCUUAAGGAAGAAAAACCCAGAGAAAGGAAAAGACCAAUGUAAUUAACACAUGGUCAAGAGCCAAGGUUCCUCUUCCCUGACAAGUUUGACGGGGGGAGCAAAAUUAAUGUCCACCAGGUUGAAUGAGGCAAAACAGUCUAAGAGAAGGUCACAGCAGGACUAAAGAUGUGGAGAGAAGUGAUAGCCAGCCUGUGAGGCUGGGGCUGCUCAGCCCUUAAGCUCUCAACCAUGAGAGACACCCAUCUUGAUGGUGUUAAUGAAGGAGGGCAAAGAUCCAGCUUGGGGUCUGAG